rnacentral:rRNA from 1 species
UACGGAGGGUGCGAGCGUUGUCCGGAAUCAUUGGGCGUAAAGGGCGCGUAGGUGGCGGGACAAGCGUGCGGUGAAAGCCUGGGGCUCAACCCCGGGUCUGCCGUGCGAACUGUUUUGCUUGAGCACUGUAGAGGCAGGCGGAAUUCCGGGUGUAGCGGUGGAAUGCGUAGAGAUCCGGAAGAACACCGGUGGCGAAGGCGGCCUGCUGGGCAGUAGCUGACACUGAGGCGCGACAGCGUGGGGAGCAAACAGG